AUUGAACGCUGGCGGCAGGCCUAACUCAUGCCAGUCGAACGGUAGCACAGAGAGCUUGCUCUCGGGUGACGAGUGGCGGACGGGUGAGUAAUGUCUGGGAAACUGCCCGAUGGAGGGGGAUAACUACUGGAAACGGUAGCUAAUACCGCAUAAUGUCGCAAGACCAAAGAGGGGGACCUUCGGGCCUCUUGCCAUCGGAUGUGCCCAGAUGGGAUUAGCUUGUUGGUGAGGUAAUGGCUCACCAAGGCGACGAUCCCUAGCUGGUCUGAGAGGAUGACCAGCCACACUGGAACUGAGGCACGGUCCAGACUCCUACGGGAGGCAGCAGUGGGGAAUAUUGCACAAUGGGCGCAAGCCUGAUGCAGCCAUGCCGCGUGUGUGAAGAAGGCCUUCGGGUUGUAAAGCACUUUCAGCGGGGAGGAAGGCAAUGCGGUUAAUAACCGUGUUGAUUGACGUUACCCGCAGAAGAAGCACCGGCUAACUCCGUG
rnacentral:rRNA from 1 species